rnacentral:rRNA from 1 species
CGGCAUGCCUCAUACAUGCAAGUCGAACGAGGUCUUCGGACCUAGUGGCGCACGGGUGAGUAACAUGUGGGAAUCUACCUGAAGGUUCGGAAUAACUGCGGGAAACUGUAGCUAAUACCGGAUGUGUCUGCAAAGAGAAAGAUUUAUCGCCUUCAGAUGAGCCCGCACUAGAUUAGCUAGUUGGUGAGGUAAUUGCUCCACCAAGGCUACGAUCUAUAGCUGAUUUGAGAGGAUGAUCAGCCACACUGGGACUGAGACACGGCCCAGACUCCUACGGGAGGCAGCAGUAGGGAAUAUUGGACAAUGGGGGAAACCCUGAUCCAGCAAUGCCGCGUGAGUGAAGAAGGCCUUCGGGUUGUAAAACUCUUUCAUCAAUGAUGAUAAUGACAUUAAUUGAAGAAGAAGCUCCGGCUAACUUCGUGCCAGCAGCCGCGGUAAUACGAAGGGGGCUAGCGUUGUUCGGAAUCACUGGGCGUAAAGCGUAUGUAGGCGGAUCAAAAAGUUAGAUGUGAAAUCCCUGGGCUCAACCCAGGAACUGCAUUUAAAACUAGUGAUCUAGAAAUUGGUAAAGGUUAGUAGAAUUUCCAGUGUAGAGGUGAAAUUCGUAGAUAUUGGAAAGAAUACCAGAAGCGAAGGCGACUAACUAGGCCAUUUUUGACGCUGAGAUACGAAAGCGUGGGUAGCAAACAGGAUUAGAUACCCUGGUAGUCCACGCAGUAAACGAUGAGUGCUAGUCGCUGGUGCAAUAGUAUCAGUGUCGAAGCUAACGCAUUAAGCACUCCGCC